rnacentral:rRNA from 1 species
AAUAUUGGACAAUGGGCGAAAGCCUGAUCCAGCGACGCCGCGUGGGUGAAGAAGGCCUGCGGGUUGUAAAGCCCUUUCGGUGGGGAAGAAAAGCCUCGAGUCACCACCUCGGGGUCUUGACGUAACCCAUAGAAGAAGCACCUGCUAACUAUGUGCCAGCAGCCGCGGUAAUACAGAGGGUGCGAGCGUUAAUCGGAAUUACUGGGCGUAAAGCGCGCGUAGGCGGCUUUGCAAGUCGGGUGUGAAAGCCCCAGGCUUAACCUGGGAACUGCAUUCGAGACUGCAUUGCUAGAGUAUGGGAGAGGGAAGUGGAAUUUCCGGUGUAGCGGUGAAAUGCGUAGAUAUCGGAAGGAACAUCAGUGGCGAAAGCGACUUCCUGGACCAAUACUGACGCUCAUGUGCGAAAGCGUGGGGAGCAAAC